rnacentral:rRNA from 1 species
GUCGGACGGCAGCACAGGGAAGCUUGCUUCCUGGGUGGCGAGUGGCGAACGGGUGAGUAACAUAUCGGAACGUACCGAGUAGUGGGGGAUAACCAAUCGAAAGAUUGGCUAAUACCGCAUACGUCUUGAGAGGGAAAGCAGGGGACCUCGGGCCUUGCGCUAUUCGAGCGGCCGAUAUCUGAUUAGCUAGUUGGUGGGGUAAAGGCCUACCAAGGCGACGAUCAGUAGCGGGUCUGAGAGGAUGAUCCGCCACACUGGGACUGAGACACGGCCCAGACUCCUACGGGAGGCAGCAGUGGGGAAUUUUGGACAAUGGGCGCAAGCCUGAUCCAGCCAUGCCGCGUGUCUGAAGAAGGCCUUCGGGUUGUAAAGGACUUUUGUCAGGGAAGAAAAGGCAGUUGCUAAUACCGGCUGCCGAUGACGGUACCUGAAGAAUAAGCACCGGCUAACUACGUGCCAGCAGCCGCGGUAAUACGUAGGGUGCGAGCGUUAAUCGGAAUUACUGGGCGUAAAGCGAGCGCAGACGGUUACUUAAGCAGGAUGUGAAAUCCCCGGGCUCAACCUGGGAACUGCGUUCUGAACUGGGUGACUGGAGUGUGUCAGAGGGAGGUAGAAUUCCACGUGUAGCAGUGAAAUGCGUAGAGAUGUGGAGGAAUACCGAUGGCGAAGGCAGCCUCCUGGGAUAACACUGACGUUCAUGCUCGAAAGCGUGGGUAGCAAACAGGAUUAGAUACCCUGGUAGUCCACGCCCUAAACGAUGUCGAUUAGCUGUUGGGCAACUUGAUUGCUUAGUAGCGAAGCUAACGCGUGAAAUCGACCGCCUGGGGAGUACGGUCGCAAGAUUAAAACUCAAAGGAAUUGACGGGGACCCGCACAAGCGGUGGA